GGCCCGGAAAGGGAAUUGGCGAGACUGGGAGCUGCCCCCGAGUCCCUCUGACCACACCCCCGAGCCGCUGCCAGCUGCGCCGAGGUGGAAGCCGGGCCUGCGCCGGGAGCGGGAGAGGCGGAGCGCAGAAAGUUGCCUCCGGCAGUCUUAAGAGGUGCUCUGUGCCGGAUUUGGAACGACUAGCGGCACCGCGCAGGACGUGCGGGCAGGCCCAGGAGUUCGCCCAGAGGUGACACACUUGGAAUCCCAGUGGGAACUCGUCAAGCCAGUUCGGCCGCGGCCGCCGCGAGCUCAGGCUCAUCGCCCAAAAAAUGUCAGCCCAGUACUUGGAACCAGAGCCAACGCCUAGGCAGGACCGUGAAACUCGGCUCCUCACAGUUCUAAAUGGUGGAAGUCUACAUAAGGCCUAAAGAUGGUACAAAAAGCUCACUCACUUACUCACACUAAAGACGUACAUUCAGUCCUAUUAUUAGUCACACUCAUGAAGACUGGAUUUCCCAUCCAAGGCUGCCUUCUGAGAAAAGGGAAGACUGUUCAUAACUGAAAGUGAAAUUGAUAGUAUGCAAUGUGCAAACUUGCGAACCCCAAAAUAAAGAAUCAAAAGAUACUAUAUCUCCCGGUUUACCCUUAUAUGAGCCUCUGAUAGAAAAAAUAAAAAAACAUUUUUCUUCUAGGAUUCUGAAUUUUAUCUUCCAUACCUUUUAUUUAACCUCUUACAGAUUUUCUAUUUCCUUGUUUCUCUGGCUCAAUUUGGAGUAAUUUCUUAAAUUCUAUCUUUUAGUUCAUUAAUUAUUUUGUAGAUAUUUGAACCUACUGUUUAACCCAUAGGCUGAAUAAUGCUCCCCAACCCCAAAGAUGCCCUAAGCCCAGAAUGUAUGAAUAAGUAAGGUUACAUGGCAAUGGAGAAUUCAGGUUGCUGAUCAGCUAACCUUGAGAUUGGGGACAUUAACCUAGACUAACAGGGUGAGCCAAUAUAAUCACAAAAAAAAAAAAUCACAAAGGUCCGUAUAAAUGGAAGAGGUAGGCAGAAGAAGGAACAAGAGAAAUGGCAGCCUGAGAAGGACUCCGCCACAGUGAUGACUUUGAAGAUGGAGGAAGGGGGCCAUGAGCCAAGGAAUCCAGGCAGCCUUUAGAAACUGGAAAAGGCAAGGAUACUGAUUCUUCCCUAGAGCCUCUGUGAGGAAUGCAAGCCUCCAGAAGGAACACAGUCCUACUGAAACUUUGAUUUUAGCCCAGGGAGACCCAUUUUCAGACUUCUGACCUCUAGAACUGUAAGAUAAAUUUGUGUUGUCUUAAGCAACUACCUUUGUGGUAAUUUAUUAUAGUAGCAAUAAGAACCAACACCACCCACUUAAAUUCUUAGUUUCAUCAAUGAUAUAUUUACUUUCUAAUACUUUUUUUUUAUUUUUGCUUUAUUUCUAGUUUUCCUGGUCAUUUUUAUGCUCUGCUGACACUUUUGGAGUUUAGUACUGUUGUUGUUAGUUGCCAUCGAGUUAAUUGCGACUCACGGCGACCGCAUGUGUGCAGAGUAGAACUGUGCUCCAUGGGGUUUUCAAGGCUGUGACCUUUUGGAAGGAGAUUGCCAGAUCUGUCUUCCAAGAAGGUCUUUGAACUGGUUCUUCCUAGUUCAAUCUUGGCUGAGGAAGCAAAACUGUAAUAGACUCAAAGUUCGUAAAAAUUUUGGUGAAACUGAACGGGAAUUACAAGUCAAGACCCUGCUAGAAGGUAAUCUCCCUCUUAGGAAACAAAGGCCAUGUUUGCAUUGCACGGCAACCAAAUCUCUUGAUAGUUGGAUUUUGAGCAGAGUUGGAAACAGCAGUGUCCUGCUCAAAGAUGGCAGCCGGCCUUGCCGCUUUCAAUGUGUAUCACUACCACAGUCCUGCCAAUACUCCAGUCUCACACAUCAGGCUCCUGAAGGCGCUCACUACACCUCCUCUGAGUCUCCCAUUUCAGGGCUUUGACCCAUAAUUUUUCCAGUUCCAGUUAUCAUUCCAGAUCACCCAAAUUGUAAAAAUUUGGAUCUGUUCCAGUUUCAUUUCAUUAGCCAUGACUGAACUGGUUCAAAGCCCUGCUUCUGAGGCCCUCUGGGUGGGUCUGAACCACCAACCUGAUUCCUCACAUUCUAUUCUUCUUUUUCAAAGUUGUUUUACUUAUUCUAGUAGUCAAGCACUAAAUUGUUUGCACCACCCAGUGGCUUCCUGGUCAUUUUUAAUAGUCUCUUAUUAUUUGUGAUUCCAUCAUUUUAUUUUUAUAAAAUAUUUCAUAAAAAAGUUUUUUGUUUAAACUUUUCAUUUUGAGAUAAUUUUAAAUUCUCAUGCAGUUGUAAGAAUAAAUGCAAAGAUCCUGUUUACCCUUUACCCAAUUUCCUCCAAUGAUAACAUCUUGCAAAACUGUAAUAUGUCACAACCAGAACAUGCACAUCAGUAACAGUCGAGAUACAGAACACUUCCAUCACUACAAAGAUCUUUCAUGCUGUCCCUUUAUAACCGAACAUAUAGUCCUAUGUGAACUUUUAUGUCUGGGUUCUUUCCCUUAACAUAAUGUUUUUGAGGUUCAUCUACAUUAUAACAUGUAUCAGACUUCAUUCCUUUUUUAUGGCUGAAUAAUACUCCAUUUUAUAAUCAGUUCAUCUAUUCAUCCAUUGAUGGACAUUUGAGUUGUUUCUAUCUUUUGGCUAUUGUUAACAUGGCUGCUAUGAAUAUAUGUGUACACGUAUCUGAGUACA